UGCAAGUCGAACGAUGAACCUUAGCUUGCUAAGGGGAUUAGUGGCGAACGGGUGAGUAAUAUAUCGGAACGUGCCUUGUAAUGGGGGAUAACUAGUCGAAAGAUUAGCUAAUACCGCAUACGCCCUGAGGGGGAAAGUAGGGGAUCUUCGGACCUUACGUUAUAAGAGCGGCCGAUAUCUGAUUAGCUAGUUGGUGGGGUAAUGGCCUACCAAGGCGACGAUCAGUAGCUGGUCUGAGAGGACGACCAGCCACACUGGAACUGAGACACGGUCCAGACUCCUACGGGAGGCAGCAGUGGGGAAUUUUGGGCAAUGGGCGCAAGCCUGAUCCAGCCAUUCCGCGUGAGUGAAGAAGGCCUUCGGGUUGUAAAGCUCUUUCGCAAGGGAAGAAAACUUACCAUCGAAUAAAUGGUGAGGCUGACGGUACCUUGAUAAGAAGCACCGGCUAACUACGUGCCAGCAGCCGCGGUAAUACGUAGGGUGCGAGCGUUAAUCGGAAUUACUGGGCGUAAAGCGUGCGCAGGCGGUUUGGCAAGUCAGAUGUGAAAUCCCCGAGCUCAACUUGGGAACUGCGUUUGAAACUGCCAGACUAGAAUAUGUCAGAGGGGGGUAGAAUUCCACGUGUAGCAGUGAAAUGCGUAGAGAUGUGGAGGAAUACCAAUGGCGAA
rnacentral:rRNA from 1 species